GCUAAGCCCUAAACAUUGAUUAGCUACUAUACAACUUCUCCGCCAGAGAACUACAAGUGAAAAACUUGAAACUCAAAGGACUUGACGGUGUCCCAAAUCGGCCUAGAGGAGCCUGUCCUAUAAUCGAUACUCCACGUUUAACCCAACCCCAACUAGCACAACAUCAGCCUAUAUACCGCCGUCGACAGCCUACCCUAUGAGGGUCUAAUAGUAGACUCAAUAGCCCUACCGCUAGCACGUCAGGUCAAGGUGUAGCAAAUGUUGGGGAAGAGAUUGGCUACAUUUUUUAUAGUAAAAAAUACGAAAUGUAUUAUGAAAUCGUACAUGAAGGUGAAUUUAGCAGUAAACUAGAUAAGAGAGUCUAUUUUAACAACGCUCUGGGACGCGUACACACCGCCCGUCACCCUCCUCAAACAACAUAAACUAAACUACUUUUAUAAAUCAAAAAAGUUAAACAGAGGAGGC
rnacentral:rRNA from 1 species